GCUGGAAUAAAUUGUGGAGGGAAUCCUAAUCAGGAGUAACUAUAGUGGAUACUUGUACUAAAUCAGAAGAUUUAUUUGUUUUCUCCAUGGAAUAGUUUGACUAAAGUUCUAAUUAUUAUUCUGUAGGGGGAGGUGAUAGCUGAAGUCGAGGGUGUUGUUGAUGACAUAAAAGGUGUUGAUAAAAUAGAGCCUUGUGAAGAACAGAGGAUACAAUACAGAAAGGUCAGUCGAAACUACUUCUGUAGUACAAAAUAAUUAGCUAGCACUACAAACUAUGCACCCUUCUUUGUCCUGAUGUUCCUAUCCUUGAAGGAUGUUGCCUCACACAUGACAGCAGUUGCACGGCCUAUGAACGAUGUUCCCUCCCCAACAACGCCUUUGUGAGCAUGCUCGUUGUUGGCGCUGCCAUGGCAGAAUCAUGCAAGCAUCGGCCAUGCAGGAGUCGUGUGCAUAGCAGUGUUGAUCCUUAAAUAUCUUCGUUGUGAUUUUUGCAUCGUCUCAGUGUGUGUGCGCUUGUUUCCAUUUUUUACUUAAUUUAUUGCUUGCUGCAACACCUAGUUCCUCCUAGUUUGAUAGAGUUGUUUGUUGUUCAUGGUGGAUGCAUGAUAUGUAAAAUCUGAAAUGGUAUUUUUAUAGUUACAUGUCUAUUUUGACAAAAUGUUGAUUGCUAACAUUUACUCUGCGUACCAAUUACUUUCUACCAUUCCUGAUUAUUCUCCACUGCUCUAUACCUUUUUAUAUGAGAAAACACCACCCACUAUGUACUCUACCAAUCAGUUUUCUGGUUUGCUUGGAAGAAAAGAACCAUUACUUGAAAACCAGCUAUGAGAUAGACUAGAUCAUUUAAGCUUGGUUGAUAGAUAAAAUUCGGUUCAUGUGCUGGGACAAGUGUACAUUUUUUUGUUCAGUGAAGAGUGUGUUUGUGCUGUCGGUGGCGACCUCCUCUGCCGCGCACGCCGGCGAUGGCCGACUUGCACUGCGACCCUGGCCAUUGAGCUGAACCAGAUCCUGGUCCAUGAUUAGUUAGGCUGUUGGUGCUGUUUGGGCUCGAUUAGCUCGAUUCGAUGUUGUUUUAGGCUUGAGAGAAGUUGUUCUCUUGUUGAAAUGAGAGGGAUAAGGUAGGUGCUGCAGCUGUUGGCAAUCGUGUAUAUGCAAUUGUAGGCAACCAGAGAAUAUGUGUUGCAUUUGUAUGUCCUCAUGUUUAAAAUUUGUGUCUGGAAGUUAUUACUGGAUCUACUAUCCCAAUAAUUUUUUAUUUCCUAAAUCUCAUCGUAAAUCUGGAAGUUGCAUUGCAUAUAUGUGUAUUACGCCAUACUAGCAAACUUCUAAAAGCAAGUGGAGCUGAACCUUUAUAAUGCACUAUGCAUUCUGCAGAUUAUGCCAUACUUAUUUGCAUGUCAUGCUACAUGAACGGGCACUGUGGUUGUGAUUGUUAUGCUGGGAGCAAUGUUCCUCAUGGUCCCAGUAAUGCUGCUAGUAUGGAAGAGGCACUGGAUCCUUGUUGUCACAUUCCUUGAGCUCUCGUUGAUGGAGGAUAAAUGGAAAUAAGUGAUCAUCUAGUGGAGACAGAGAUAACAAGUAGAGACAAACUGCAGGGAACCAAGUAGAGACAAACCGUUGCACUAUGGUAUGUUGCUGUCCAUCAGAAUCCGCCAUGCCAUAUAGUUGCCAUCAGGAGGGUCGACGACAAGAACACGAGUGACAGCCUUUGUAGUUAUAUGUUUUGUCGAUGUAAAUUGGAUUGUACCGGUUCCUAAUCCUAUGGAUGGCUGCAUAUUAAGUGAUUUUGUCAACAUGGAGGAUAUUAUAAACUGCUAGGUUCUACAUACCUAUAGAUGGUUGCAUAUUGAGUGAUUUGUGUAACAUAUGGUACUUUGGAAAUAUUGUCCUCAUCUAAAAUUGGCAUUAUGAUUUACGGAACACAUUAUGCUAAAAGCGUAUUUGAUCAAAAUUGGGCUGAAUGAAAUGGAUGGGGCCAAAU